rnacentral:rRNA from 1 species
UUUGAUUAUGGCUCAGGAUGAACGCUAGCUACAGGCUUAACACAUGCAAGUCGAGGGGAAACGACAUCGAAAGCUUGCUUUUGAUGGGCGUCGACCGGCGCACGGGUGAGUAACGCGUAUCCAACCUGCCCACCACUUGGGGAUAACCUUGCGAAAGCAAGACUAAUACCCAAUGACGUCUCUAGAAGACAUCUGAAAGAGAUUAAAGAUUUAUCGGUGAUGGAUGGGGAUGCGUCUGAUUAGCUUGUUGGCGGGGUAACGGCCCACCAAGGCGACGAUCAGUAGGGGUUCUGAGAGGAAGGUCCCCCACAUUGGAACUGAGACACGGUCCAAACUCCUACGGGAGGCAGCAGUGAGGAAUAUUGGUCAAUGGACGAGAGUCUGAACCAGCCAAGUAGCAUGCAGGAAGACGGCCCUAUGGGUUGUAAACUGCUUUUAUAAGGGAAUAAAGUGAGUCUCGUGAGACUUUUUGCAUGUACCUUAUGAAUAAGGACCGGCUAAUUCCGUGCCAGCAGCCGCGGUAAUACGGAAGGUCCGGGCGUUAUCCGGAUUUAUUGGGUUUAAAGGGAGCGUAGGCCGGGGAUUAAGCGUGUUGUGAAAUGUAGACGCUCAACGUCUGCACUGCAGCGCGAACUGGUUUCCUUGAGUACGCACAAAGUGGGCGGAAUUCGUGGUGUAGCGGUGAAAUGCUUAGAUAUCACGAAGAACUCCGAUUGCGAAGGCAGCUCACUGGAGCGCAACUGACGCUGAAGCUCGAAAGUGCGGGUAUCGAACAGGAUUAGAUACCCUGGUAGUCCGCACGGUAAACGAUGGAUGCCCGCUGUUGGUCUGAAUCGGUCAGCGGCCAAGC